rnacentral:rRNA from 1 species
ACCAGGAAUCGUAGACAAUGGGCGAAAGCCUGAUCUCGCGACGCCGCGUGGAGGAUGAAGGCCUUCGGGUUGUAAACUCCUUUUAGUCCGGAAUAAGUCCCGAUUUUAUCGGGAUUGACUGUACGGACUGAAUAAGCCGCUGCCAACUACGUGCCAGCAGCCGCGGUGAUACGUAGGCGGCAAGCGUUACCCGGAUUUACUGGGCGUAAAGAGUGCGCAGGUGGUUUGGUAAGUCUGCGUUAAAAUACACUGGCUUAACCAGUGGAUCGCGGAGAUACUACUAGACUAAAGAGGAAGUCAGGGGGUGUCGGAACAGAUGGUGUAGCAGUGAAAUGCGUUGAUAUCAUCUGGAACACCCAAGGCGAAGGCAGACACCUGGGGCUUUCCUAACACUGAUGCACGAAAGUGUGGGGAGCGAACGGGAUUAGAUACCCUAGUAGUCC